rnacentral:rRNA from 1 species
GCUACAGGCUUAACACAUGCAAGUCGAGGGGCAGCAUGGUCUUAGCUUGCUAAGGCCGAUGGCGACCGGCGCACGGGUGAGUAACGCGUAUCCAACCUGCCUUACACUCUUGGACAGCCUUCUGAAAGGGAGAUUAAUACAAGAUGUUAUCAUGAGUAAGCAUUUUCGCAUGAUUAAAGGUUUACCGGUGUAAGAUGGGGAUGCGUUCCAUUAGAUAGUAGGCGGGGUAACGGCCCACCUAGUCUUCGAUGGAUAGGGGUUCUGAGAGGAAGGUCCCCCACAUUGGAACUGAGACACGGUCCAAACUCCUACGGGAGGCAGCAGUGAGGAAUAUUGGUCAAUGGACGAGAGUCUGAACCAGCCAAGUAGCGUGAAGGAUGAAGGUUCUAUGGAUUGUAAACUUCUUUUAUACGGGAAUAAACGAAUCCACGCGUGGAUUUUUGCAUGUACCGUAUGAAUAAGGAUCGGCUAACUCCGUGCCAGCAGCCGCGGUAAUACGGAGGAUCCGAGCGUUAUCCGGAUUUAUUGGGUUUAAAGGGAGCGUAGAUGGGUUGUUAAGUCAGUUGUGAAAGUUUGCGGCUCAACCGUAAAAUUGCAAUUGAUACUGGCAGUCUUGAGUACAGUUGAGGUAGGCGGAAUUCGUGGUGUAGCGGUGAAAUGCUUAGAUAUCACGAAGAACUCCGAUUGCGAAGGCAGCUUACUAACCUGUAACUGACAUUGAUGCUCGAAAGUGUGGGUAUCAAACAGGAUUAGAUACCCUGGUAGUCCACACGGUAAAACGAUGAAUACUCGCUGUAGGCGAUAUACAGUCUGCGGCCAAGCGAAAGCAUUAAGUAUUCCACCUGGGGAGUACGCCGGCAACGGUGAAACUCAAAGGAAUUGACGGGGGCCCGCACAAGCGGAGGAACAUGUGGUUUAAUUCGAUGAUACGCGAGGAACCUUACCCGGGCUUAAAUUGCAACCGAAUAUGGCGGAAACGCUAUAGCUAGCAAUAGCGGUUGUGAAGGUGCUGCAUGGUUGUCGUCAGCUCGUGCCGUGAGGUGUCGGCUUAAGUGCCAUAACGAGCGCAACCCUUGCCGAUAGUUACUAACAGGUCAUGCUGAGGACUCUGUCGGGACUGCCAUCGUAAGAUGUGAGGAAGGUGGGGAUGACGUCAAAUCAGCACGGCCCUUACGUCCGGGGCUACACACGUGUUACAAUGGGGGGUACAGAGGGCUGCUACCACGCAAGUGGAUGCCAAUCCCAAAAACCUCUCUCAGUUCGGAUUGAAGUCUGCAACCCGACUUCAUGAAGCUGGAUUCGCUGGUAAUCGCGCAUCAGCCACGGCGCGGUGAAUACGUUCCCGGGCCUUGCACA